rnacentral:rRNA from 1 species
UACACUCCUGCGGGAGGCAGCAGUGGGGAAUAUUGGACAAUGGGCGCAAGCCUGAUCCAGCCAUGCCGCGUGAGUGAUGAAGGCCCUAGGGUUGUAAAGCUCUUUCACCGGUGAAGAUAAUGACAGUAACCGGAGAAGAAGCCCCGGCUAACUUCGUGCCAGCAGCCGCGGUAAUACGAAGGGGGCUAGCGUUGUUCGGAUUUACUGGGCGUAAAGCGCACGUAGGCGGACUAUUAAGUCAGGGGUGAAAUCCCGGGGCUCAACCCCGGAACUGCCUUUGAUACUGGUAGUCUUGAGUUCGAGAGAGGUGAGUGGAAUUCCGAGUGUAGAGGUGAAAUUCGUAGAUAUUCGGAGGAACACCAGUGGCGAAGGCGGCUCACUGGCUCGAUACUGACGCUGAGGUGCGAAAGCGUGGGGAGCAAACAGGAUUAGAAACCCGUGUAGUCC